GUAGUCCACGCCGUAAACGAUGGAUGCUAGCUGUUGGGGGCACUCCUCCGGUAGCGUAGCUAACGCGUUAAGCAUCCCGCCUGGGGAGUACGGUCGCAAGAUUAAAACUCAAAGGAAUUGACGGGGACCCGCACAAGCGGUGGAGCAUGUGGUUUAAUUCGAGGCAACGCGAAGAACCUUACCAGGCCUUGACAUGUCCAGUAUGAUCGACAGAGAUGUCUUUCUUCAGUUUGGCUGGCUGGAACACAGGUGCUGCAUGGCUGUCGUCAGCUCGUGUCGUGAGAUGUUGGGUUAAGUCCCGCAACGAGCGCAACCCUCGUCCUUAAUUGCCAUCAUUUAGUUGGGAACUUUAAGGAAACUGCCAGCGUCAAGCUGGA
rnacentral:rRNA from 1 species